GUCGCCGAAGCGACGGGAAUCCGCGCCCGCUUCGCGUGCCUAGCUAACGGAACGAAACAAACAGAGCCGACUUCCCCUUGGCCCGUUCACAGCCGGCCCGCCCCCUCUCCUUGACGGCGACAACUGGGCGAGCACCGACGACUGGGCCAGCGACGCCAUCCUACGCCAGGUCUUCGUCGGCUAGUUUGAAGGCGAAUUUGUUGAGGCAUCGGAGGCUACAUUCACCAGUGCAAGCAAAAUUUUGGUUUAGAGCAAAGGAUGGCAGCACAGCUAGUCUUUUCCAGUGUUUCCAAUUGCCAAUGCCCAUUAGGCAUUUCACCGAAAAAAUGUUAGGAAGGCACUUCUUGGUGAAAGUGCAAGAAUUUUUCAGAGAAACAAGUGGUUUUCUAGUGGUCCAUAUCGCUCUUCUCGACUGGAGUGCUCUGCAAACUCCCGUCGAGUGGGGCCACGGCGUACCAAGGAUACCUUAUAUGACAUUCACCCUGAGAUCUCCUUGCUCUAUGGAGAGGAUAAUGGUGCAGCUACUGUAUCCAGCAAGGGGCAGGGUAUUGACACUGCAGCUGAAAGAUUGGUAGAUGCUCCUGCCUCUUACCGCUACAAUGAGCCCAGGAUUAAAGUCAUUGGCGUUGGAGGUGGUGGCUCUAAUGCUGUGAACAGGAUGAUUGAAAGCUCCAUGAAGGGCGUAGAAUUCUGGAUCGUGAACACUGAUUUUCAGGCUAUGCGGAUAUCGCCCAUUGACCCAGAAAAUAGGUUACAGAUUGGCCUGGAACUGACACGUGGUCUUGGUGCUGGUGGGAACCCAGAAAUCGGCAUGAACGCAGCCAAGGAAAGCCAGGAGUUGGUAGAACAAGCAGUUUCUGGUGCUGAUAUGGUUUUUGUGACGGCCGGAAUGGGAGGUGGGACAGGAACUGGUGGGGCACCUAUUAUUGCAGGGAUUGCUAAGUCCAUGGGUAUAUUAACUGUUGGAAUCGUGACAACCCCAUUUUCAUUCGAGGGAAGAAGGCGAGCUCUUCAAGCACAAGAAGGAAUUGCAUCAUUGAGAAGCAAUGUUGAUACACUGAUCGUAAUUCCAAAUGACAAGUUACUCACUGCUGCAUCCCCAAAUACUCCUGUGACAGAAGCAUUCAAUUUGGCAGAUGAUAUCCUUCGGCAAGGUGUCUGUGGGAUCUCAGAUAUAAUCACUGUGCCAGGUUUGGUGAAUGUGGACUUUGCUGAUGUUCGGUCAGUUAUGUCAGAUGCAGGUUCAUCAUUGAUGGGCAUUGGAACAGCAACAGGUAAGACCCGAGCCAGAGAUGCCGCACUUAAUGCCAUACAGUCUCCUCUACUUGAUAUUGGUAUUGAGAGAGCUACUGGAAUUGUAUGGAAUAUCACUGGAGGGAAUGAUCUAACCUUGACAGAGGUGAACGCGGCAGCUGAAGUAAUCUACGAUCUUGUUGACCCUGGUGCAAAUUUGAUUUUUGGCUCUGUUAUAGAUCCAUCAUACACUGGCCAAGUGAGCAUAACUCUGAUUGCAACUGGAUUCAAACGCCAGGAGGAAAGUGAGAAUCAAUCUUCGCAGGCUGGAGACAGCAACCGCCGUCACUCGGGUUGGUUUUCUCCCACUUCCCAGGAGGAAGGUCCAGGAUUGCAGAUCCCAGAGUUCCUGCAGAGGAAAGGCCGUUCAGGGUUUCCGCGAGUCUGAACACGUGCUACAGUAGUUUGGUUCAUUGCUCUUCUUUAUCAUGGUUUCCCACCUCUUUUUGGUAGUUUGGUAUCUUGCAGCUUCCGUUUCUAGGUCUCUUUUGUAGCAAGAUAUUGGUUGUUUACUGUAGUGUUAGAUCAGAUGUUGGAACCCUGACUCUGUGCAAACUAGAGGCCGCCUGAGUAGAUUGGGCCGGGCUUCUAUGCUUCUGGACCUGCAGUAGAUGAGGAUCAAUUUGAACUCCAUAAGAGCUAUGAAUAAGUCUGCACCAGAGAGCAUACUAUAAUGUUCCGUGUGAAGGAUUAUCUCUGAUUUUCUU